GCGUGAGAAUCUGGCUUCAGGAUGGGGACAACAGUUGGAAACGACUGCUAAUACCCGAUGUGCCGAGAGGUGAAAGAUUUAUCGCCUGAAGAUGAGCUCGCGUCUGAUUAGCUAGUUGGUGGGGUAAGAGCUUACCAAGGCGACGAUCAGUAGCUGGUCUGAGAGGAUGAUCAGCCACACUGGGACUGAGACACGGCCCAGACUCCUACGGGAGGCAGCAGUGGGGAAUUUUCCGCAAUGGGCGCAAGCCUGACGGAGCAAUACCGCGUGCGGGAGGAAGGCCUGUGGGUCGUAAACCGCUUUUGACAGGGAAGAAGAACUGACGGUACCUGUCGAAUCAGCCUCGGCUAACUCCGUGCCAGCAGCCGCGGUAAUACGGAGGAGGCAAGCGUUAUCCGGAAUUAUUGGGCGUAAAGCGUCCGUAGGUGGUUUAUCAAGUCUGCUGUCAAAGCGCAGGGCUCAACUCUGUACGGGCAGUGGAAACUGAUAGACUAGAGUGUGGUAGGGGUAGAGGGAAUUCCCAGUGUAGCGGUGAAAUGCGUAGAUAUUGGGAAGAACACCGGUGGCGAAAGCGCUCUAACUGGGCCAAGGACUGACACUGAUGGACGAAAGCUAGGGGAGCGAAAGGGA
rnacentral:rRNA from 1 species